AUUGAUUUUUUUGUGUGACAAAAGUAACCCUCCGAUCGAAACCUGGAGUGGUUGUUGUAGCUAAUUCAUUUCACCUCUCUUCUCCAAUGAGUUUCUGAAAACGAAUUAGGUUUCGUUGAGAGAAAAAUGUAAAAGAAAAUCUCAACAGGUUUUCAUAUAAAUCAUGGAGUUAGUAUUCGUAUAUUGAGUUUAAGAAAGCACAAAUCGAUUCAAUCCAUCUUCAAAACCAAAGUCUGAUUAUCAGUUAGCAGUUGAUUCAGCAAGCUUGGAUCCGACAUCAUCGACAUCUAUUCUCAAAGAAUUAGCUUGAUAUUGAUUGGAUGGUAGAUGAAAUCACCAACAACACUUGAAUCUUAAGAUUCAUCAACAAUUAGGUUUUCUGCUUCUCCAUCUUUGAGUCCUCAGUUUAAUGGAUAUGAUUGCAGACAAAUUGUCAAAUCACGUUGGAAGGUAUAAUAUUAAACGAGCAUUUCUUGUUGAUAAAUUAGCUCUUGUAAUUAUUCCUUCCAAUUUUGAUUUUUUUUAUAUGAUUUGUUAUUUCUUUUGUAUAUUUUUAAGGUUUGGUAUUCUGUAAGUUUGGAUAUGUUAGUGCUUAUGCAGGUUAAGUGCUUGUGUUAUAUGUGUUUGGUUAGGAAAUUAGACAAACAAGGUUUUGAAUCCUUCAAGCACAGGUCGGAUUGAAUUUGUUCAGAAAUCAUUUGAGAGGAGAAUGUGCAUCACUGCUUCCGUCUAUGCUUCAGCUGAAGGAGUAAAGUUUCUAAAUACAGUGUGUACAAACUGGUACACUAGUAUUUACUCUUUGUUGGUUAAUGUUCUGGUUAUAUAUAUUUUAAUACAUCUUCUAAUUCCUAAGGAUUUUGAUGGUAUGUAAGUACUAAUAUAAUACUACCAAGCUGGGUCCAGGAAAUGGUUAUGACGUGUUAACUACUUUAGGAAAUGUUUGAGCAGCUUAGUGAUAGUCCAUGGAUUAGUCUAAUCGUCAUAUCUUCAGGGUCUGGAUCUUUAUAGUGGAUUAAAGCUUUAGUAUUUUGUGUAUGUGUGGUGUUUGAAGUAUUGUACAACAGUAGCAUUUCUUGGUUAUAAAAUUAUUUAUGUGGCAUAAGCAUAAGUUAAGGUUUGAAUGAAUUAAUUUAAUAGUAAACUUGUUUAUAGCAAAAGAUGAAUGUCUUUGAGAGUUGUGUUUUAUUUUUUGGGGUAAACAAGGUUUCAUUUUUGGUGUAAACAUGGUGCUUGUGAGUCACUAACUAAAUCAUGUGGCUGUUGUGGAAGCAUCAUGAAGGAUGAGAUGCAGUGUGAACAAUGUGAGUCAACAUGUGAUUUCGCUACCCACUUCUUCUGCCAUUACUGUGCUUCAUGCCAAGAAGUGAGAGAGAUGCAACGUAGGUCUCCACAUCCCAGGUUAAUGCUAGGGCCCGUCUUUGUUAUAUAUGAUGCUCCCAUCAGAGCAGAUAUUAUGCCGCAGUUGUAAUGCUUGGAAUAUGUUACCCUUUGGUGUACUAAUCAGGCAUUUGAGAGGCAGUAUUGAUGCAAGUUGUGUAUUGAUCCAUAUACAACACAAGGAGAGGGGUUCUACUAUGAUGCAUUUUAUAGUGAUCUUGGCUUGAGUGAGGAUCGCUAAAUCAUCAAUAAACAUGGGAGAAAAAUGUUGUGUAUGUGUUGCAGGUGAUGGAGUUGCAACAAAGAAAUAUAGUAUCCCUGAAGCAUCCCUAUCAGGCUCUGAUAUGAAUUUUUGAAGGCCUACUGAGUUGAUUGUUUUUAUCCUGAACUAUAUUACUUCAGCUGCUGAUACCGUCGUCCAGAUUUCUUUGUCUUGUAAGUCUUCUCUGUCUUUUCGCUUUCUUACUUAUUGUCAUCACUGCUAGACAAUAUAAUUGGCACAUUAAAUGAAAUGUCUUUAUGAAAUAUUUAGUUUGACCUGACCUAAAUAUAUGUUGUGAACUCCAAAUUCUUUACAUUGGUUGGAGAGGAAGCUUGGGAUAACAGAAAGGAACUAAAAAUGAUUGGACUGAAGUUGGAUAAGAGAGAAGUCAAGUUAUUAGAUUCUGACGAGACUCAUAAGCUCAAAAUGGUUGAGCGCCCGGUCUAUCACAAGGUUUGCGGAGGUUGAUGGUUCAAAUCCAUCUAAGUUUCAUUGUUAGGUUUAUUCAAUGUGGAUAGUAUUGUUCGUGCUUAUGUAGUCUAUUCAAGUUGUAUAUGUGUAAAAACUCGUGCAUCUUGUCUUGUCUCAUGAAUAUAUGGGCUACUUUGUGCGUAUAAAUAUUGGAUUUCUUGGAUUUUGUAAACAUGUACAUAGUUGUAUACCAUUGUCCUGUCGCAUGAAUACGUGGCCUAUUCUAUUAUGUAAAUGUUGGAUUUUCUGGA